GCAGUCGUGGCCGAGUGGUUAAGGCGAUGGACUAGAAGCCUAUCGAAGUAUCCCCGCUCAGGAUCCUGUCGACUGCG
rnacentral:tRNA from 1 species